rnacentral:tRNA from 7 species
GUCUCCAUCGUCUAGAGGCCUAGGACACUGCCCUUUCACGGCGGCGACCGGGGUUCGAAUCCCCGUGGAGACGCCA